CCCGCGGAAGUCGUACGAGGAGGCUGGUGAUCGCUUGCGUACGUCGAGGGGAGCGCCAACUCCUGUUUCCCGCACGUCCCCGGGCGGCCUGGGGGACAGCUGGGGCGUCGCGGCCCGGGGAAGGGAGCGGAAGUCAGCGUUGAAGCCGCGGAAGGAGGGGCGGCUGGCGGAGGCCCCGCAGCCCUUGAGGCCGGUUUAGCUGCACUAGUGCCCGAACGCCGGUGUGAGGCUGGAGUGUGGCCGCGCCGUGCUUUCUGUAGAAGGCACUGGCCAAGAGCGCACCUAGCUUCUGGUGCUCAAGUCUGAAUGGCGGGAGCCUGAUGGCCCGGGGUUCAGUGUGACUCCUCCGAUUCCCCAACCAACCUCUGCAAGGGGCUCCCAUAUCUGAGAGUGAGGUCUGCAUUUCUGUGGUCCUCAAGUGGGAAACUGGCAGAAGAAGUGCGGGGGAAACUUCCAGGUUAAGGUGUGUGAAUGCGAGCAUGUACCGAGACCAGUGAAUCUUUUCUGAUUCGUGCUAGAAAAUCAACUUAUUAGUUUGAAGUAUAAAGACAUCUCCUUUUCAGUGACCAGAAUACUUGUCUUGCCUAUUUAGGCACUUCCUUUGAAGGAUCAAGAUCCAAGGCAGGGAAUGAAAAUCACAGAAGGGGACACAGCACUUGAAAGAUAUUUGAUGGUACCAGAAAAGGAUAUGGCAAGGAAGAAUAUUUAAGUUGAAGUCAAGGCCUUCCUUCUUGGUGGAGCUUCCCAGAUAAAAAAGGACUAGCUCUCAGAAGUGUACCCCUUUUCAAAAUGCCUGUUGUUCACAGAAGAUGUGGCCAGGGAAGGAUGGACCAUCUUUGGCAAAAUAUCUGGGAAUACCUGCCUGCAACUCAGAGUUGAAAUGGAGUGAUGACAUGGUGCAGCAUUUCAGCCAUUUUUUGGGUAAUUGGAAGAAUUCUAUUCCUCAAGGCAGAAAAUUGCAACAACUCAGAAAUAUGGCAGUGGACUAAGCUUCCUGGACUGACAUGAAGAUGACUUCAGAAGUGUUACGGAUACUUAGAAAAUUUAGAAUACCCAGGGAAGUCAACAGCCUGAAUGAAAAGAAUGGGAUUUCUUGAAUUGUAAAAAUAUCAGUCCUUUUGUACCAUGGUGGUAUCAUUGGUGUGGAGCUUUAAUGAAAAUGAGGGUCUAACUCACUUGGGAAAGUUGAUCUUGAAAGAGGUGAACUAUUAUAAGGUCAAAGAAAUUUUAUCAUACAGUAUGUAUUGGUUAAUUGUAAUUCUUUAAUUCGUCAUUCAUUUUCCCACAAGAUAAUUGUCUUGACAGUCUUUCUGCUUAGUAUUAAUUAAACAUCCACAACGUGUUCAGUAUUGGUUAGAGCAUUCAAUAUAUAUGACCCCUAACACAAGGAGUUCACAUUCUAAGACUUGCUUUAAAAAUGAUCUUCCUUAU